UUCUAACAGUCACAUGGAAGAGGGGUCAUGUUUCCGCCCCUCCUGCUCAGGAGGGUAGGACUCAAACCAAUGGCUUCAAGUUACAAGAAAGGAGAUUCUGGCUAAACAUCUCCAAGAUCUUUCUGACAGUAAGAGCUGUUCAACAGUGGAACAGUCUGUGUUGGGAGGUGGUGGACUCUCCUUCCUUGGAGGUUUUUAAGCAGAGGUUGGAUGACCAUCUGUCAUGGAUGUUUUAGCUGAGUCUCCUGCAUUGUAGGGGAAUGGGCUAGAUGAGCCCUGUAGCUCCUCCCAACUCUACAAUUCUAUGUUUCUUUGAUUUUAUGAUUUUAUCUGGACUAGAAAAUCAAAAGCUUGGAUCUGCACUUUUUCUUUAAAAAAAUAAUGAGUAGGUAUGAAUACUCUGGAGUGACUGGGGCAGGGUUCUUUUGGGGUAGGGACAAAAGGGACAGGUGGAUUUCUCUAUCCCAGCGAGCCAAGAACUCUAGUGAUCAUCCAGAGCUCUAAAUUUCCCUAGCAAUCACUUCAUGUAUAAGACAAGAAGCUUCUCCCUGUGCCAGCUUUACUCAAGGGGGCAGGAGAGAUAUACUGAAAAGCGCAAGAAAUAAAAUAUUUAUUCAACUGUACUGUCUUGUGGUUUCAGCUGUGAGGCAGCUUUCUCAUCCGUUUCCUUUGCAUAGUCACAAUUUGUUUAUUUAUAUACCACAUCUUCCACAGAUACAGCUGUGCUCAGAUAUAGAUAUAUGAGAGAGAAAGAAAUAAUAAAUUAAUAAAUAAUAAAAAAUAAAUAAUAAAUAAUAAUACAGAUUUAUAGGCUUAUAGAUAUAUGUCUUGAAAUAAUGAUGCAUAAUAAAUAUUCAGCUGAGUUUUAGUCACAGUAAAGGUAAAGGUAUCCCUGCCCGUACGGGCCAGUCGUGUCCGACUCUGGGGUUGCGUGCUCAUCUCGCUCUAGAGGCCAUGAGCUGGCGCCGUCCGAAGACACUUCCGGGUCACGUGGCCAGCAUGACGAAGCUGCAGCUGGCGAGCCAGCACCAGCGCAGCACACGGAAACACUGUUUACCUUCCCACUAUAAAGCGGUCCCUAUUUAUCUACUUGAACUUAAGAGUGCUUUCGAACUGCUAGGUGCGCAGCAGCUGGGACCGAACGACGGGAGCUCACCCCGCCGCGGGGAUUCGAACCGCCGACCAUACGAUCGGCAAGUCCUAGGCACUGAGGUUUUACCCACAGUGCCACCCGCAUCCUUUAGUCACAGUAGCCCCACUGAAAUAAGUGGACCUAACUUAUGUUAAUUAAUUUAAAUCGGUCUGCUCUGAUUAAAGCUUAAUUUAAUACUACUCAUGAUUAAUGCACGAUAACAUUUUAAAAAUCCAAGAAUUAACAGUUCAUUUAACAGACAUCAGAAUUUAAAUAAAUAAACACAGGUCGAGUGAAACUACCCAAGAGCUCCACUUACAAAACUGACCUGAAUGCUGAUGAUAUUGGUAUGUGCAACCACCACCACCCCACAGUUUUAUGCCUUGGAUCAAAAGGUCAGAAUGUCCCAACUUAAUUAAUUUAAUAAAUUAUUCUAGAAGCUAUUUCUAGUUUGUUUCAUGCCAAAGGAGCUGAUGGAACUUCCCACAAUAUCUGCUGAGCAGUCUCAGUGAAAUCAAAAUUUAGAAAUAAAAAUUGAAGUCUUUGUGUUACAUUUUGCACUGAAUGUGUAUUUCAUCAUUUAAGCACAACAGGCACCUGUGGGGAAAGUAAGGGCAGGGAUGUGAUUAGGAUCCUACUAGAAUUGGUCACAGUCCUUUUUAUUACCCAAUGCAAAAAUGUUCUUGAAUAUGCAAAUUUAUCAAUCUAUUACAGAUUUAUUUAAAUACCAAGUCUCCUGCUUGAAUUUUAGAGAGCAUCAUGGAGACGAUGGUGCCCUUAGCCACAUUUCUCUUUGUCUUUUCUAUCCUUAAACCUGGUCAGUUGUAUUAUUUGUACUUGAUUGUAGAGGGAAAAUGCCACCCUGCAGACUCUUUUAACGUUUAUGAGCAUUCUUUCCUUUUAUAUUUUCAACUGCUGAACUAGGUUACCUGAGAUGUUUUCAUUCUUUUCUAUAAUAGUGGGAAGCAUGAACAAGUGCAGUCCCAUUUUCAAAAUUAUAGGAUCGCGUCAUUAAAAAUAUUUCACUUUGUUCAGAAAAAGGCUUAAGCAUUAUUUAAAAGUUAAAAAUGCAACAGCUUUAUUAUGUUUUAUUAUGUUUUUAUAUAUGCUGGAAGCCACCCAGUGUGGCUGGAGUAACCCAGUCAGAUGGGCAAAGUACAAAAUAAUAACAAUAACAAGAAUAAUAAUUGAUAUUUCUUUGUUUUAUAAUCUUGCAGCAUGUGUUAAAAUUUAAUAUGCCUUUCCCCCAUUUUCUUCUGCCAGGAUCCCCCUCUGAAAUUCAACUGACUCAAUCUGGUGAGGGAGUUCGGAAACCUGGAGAAUCCCUCCAGUUGACCUGUGCUGUCUCUGGUUACACCAUCACUGCUGGCUAUUAUUGGCACUGGGUCCGCCAGCCUCCAGGGAAAGGACUGCAAUGGAUAGGAAGGGGAUAUUACAGCAGUUCAAGAUGGUACACAAAUUAUGGUUCAGCCUUCCAGAGCAGGGUUUCCAUCUCUCUUGAUUCAUCCAAGAAUGCAUAUCAUCUCCAGCUGAAUUCCCUGACAGCUGCAGACACAGCCAUGUAUUAUUGCGCAAGGGAACACAGUGACACAGAGCAAGUCUGUCAUCUGUACAAAAAGGAGAAGCGUUCCUUUUUUCUGUUUCUGCUGCAAGUUCUUCCUUCAAUGCAC